AUAUUAACCAAUGAUUGUGUCAUUGAUAUUAUAUAAAUUUUACACAUUUGAUAACGCGCGCUACACAAUUUGUGUCUAUUGAUAUCAGUGCGGCCGAGAAUGGCGGACUGAUAUCAAUCCGCCGCUACCGGCUUCCGUACAACUCUCUUUGGGUGCGUUCGAAUACUAGUUCCAGUUCUAGAACUGGAACUGCCAGAACUGUUGGAACUCUUGCUAGCAAUCGAACGCUUAGAACUGUCAGCAAGUUGAGCAUGCGCAACGGCUUAUACUUCCGGUUAGCGUCAAUUCGAAGUAGCAUGACGUUUCGACUCCAUUUGUUGUAGUCUGUUCGAACAUCAGCAGUGCUUUCGCUUUCGGUUUUUUGGAGCUGCUCACGCCAAGAAGGUCACUGUAAUCAGUCCCAAAUGUCGUUCUUCUGGUGUUCUGCAAGCCAGUGGUCGCCACAAGUGUUCAUUAUAACAAACAAGAAGGUCCACAACGGCCUCAGCAUCUGUACCCGUCAUUUCACUUCGUCAACCUCCGGGAAUUUUGCAUUUAGGGCGUGACAGUUUCAACAAUUCCAGCUCGCUAGGCAGAACUGCUAGAACUGUUCUGACAGUUCUAGAACUGUCAGAACUACCAAUCGAACGCUAUAGAACUACCAAUCGAACGCUAUAGAACUUUACUCCCCCCUACAAUUCCAGUUCUAGAACUAGUAUUCGAACGCACCCUUUAUAAACGGCUCUGAGUACACACUAGGCUCGAGAGUCCAGCCGCUCAUCUCCCACGCGCAAAUUUUUUUUGGGCCACUUCACAGACACAUCCCGGAUAUAUAGCCCGGAAAAGUUUAACUUACACGUGCAUGGUAGACCAUUCUCAUGUGCACGCAUGUUGAUUUAGUAGUUCGAAAUGUGUUGUUAUGCUGACAGAUCGUGGGAAUUGCGCUUUCUCUGCGAGCAGUUACCACACUCAGUAAACAGCAGUGGCUAGUGAAAGGAGAGCCCCAAUAUGGGGAAUGUUGGUUGCUACAAACCGUUUUCUUUGCAGAAAUCGACUUUCUCGAGAAACAUUUGACUCCAGAAAAGCUUUUCGUGAUGCAACUAUUAUACAAGACGGCAGAGGAUGUGUGAAGAAUAUUGGAAGGUGGAUCAGGGAAUGACAUGUCAAAGUACUCUCUAGCAAAAUCUAGCUACUGCUGUGACAUUUCUUACCAGAUUUAUGACGUUUGUUUACCAGUUUACAAUGCUGUAUACGCAUAACUCAAUCUUAACCAGUUAUAGUCAUUACCAGUUGGACAUAACAGUGUACGCUCUAGAUGUUGAAGAAAGACUCAAAGUAACAUGAUAAUGUUUUGUGCUUGUAUAUACGUAGUUCUAUUUGUGGUCAAUUUGAGCAUGGUAUAAGAUACUGUGAA